CCCAACAGCUUUUGUGCCAUGGGGUGAUACCGAAGUGGCUGAGAACCCAAAAGCUCAAGCUGAGCUGUUGAGUGGGGUCUGCUGACACGGUGGUGGCUGUUGAUACCCAGCACUGCUGCUCUUGUGGCAUCCUGUGGGAAAAUGUGGGAUCUGUCCCCUCCCCAGACCCAGGGUGCUGCUCACCCUCCUGGAGCCAGUCAGGAGGUGACAGCCCCAUCCUCCCCUCUCCUCUCACCCAGGCUGUCAGAUCCAAGUCAGGGAGCUUGCAAAAAAACUCAGAGAAGAGUUCAGCUGCUCCAGCUACCAACUGCUGACAGUCCUGGAGGUUUCUGGUAACCUGUGUCCUGUGGAAGGGAAAGUAUUUUCUCUGAGAAGUUGUUUUUUUUUUAAUUCUGCAGUCUGCAGGGUAGUGAAACAUGUUUGGCACUGGGGCUUCCCACUACAGUCUGAAUUCCAGGCAGUAGUUUCACUAGAGAAACCCUGUGAAGACUCUGGAGUUAGGCACUAUUUCUGGAAGUUCUCCUCAUCAAACAAGCUAAAAAUAACAAUAAAUGCCCCAAGUUUUUUGGCAGGGGGGCAGCAACCAGGGCCCAUCAUGCCUAGUUCCCAUCUACACAGCUCUGGAGUAAAGGUCUACAUGGAGUUAUUUGCUUUCUUCUCAUCCACACUCCUGAUGUCUGUGAGCAGCAGUGGUUUUAAUCAGCAAUUUAUGUGCUUUUUGUAUUUAGAGCAAACACAGAGACAUUGAUUUGCCCCAUGUGUACCACUUUCUUGGUGUGACUUGAAGUUUUGAAGUCUCUAAUUUUCUUCCCAGCUGAGCUGGGAAUCUGCUUUGUGCUACCACCACACAGCCAAUUCCAGACAGGGGUGGGCAAAACCCCAGUAUUCUGGAGAAAUAGCUGCAAUGUAGGAAAGAAACCCAGGAGGUGAAACAGGUAUUCUAAGAAAAUGUCAGCUGAAUGGGUGGUCUUGAGCAGCAAAACAACUUUAAGGCUUUGCUGGGAGAGAUACCAAUGUGCUGUCCCAUAAAUGUGGGGUGAGUCUUCACCAGGUUCCCAUCUCUCCUUUGCCCAAAAGUUGCUGCUGAGUUGCUGCAGAGAAGGGUGACAGGCAGGAUCAAAGGUAUGGAACAGCUCUUGUGUGGGAAUGGAUUUAAUAGAGGGGACUCUUCUGCCUGUGGGGCAGAUAAAGUGAAGGAGAAUGUGAUAGAGGGCUAUAAAAUCAUGACUGGGCUGGAAAAAAAUUAAUCAGAAGGAGACUCUGGCUCCUCUGAUCCAAGAACUAGGGAGGUGUCAAAUAAACCAGCAAAUGGCAUGUGGGAUAGAAAUAAA
rnacentral:lncRNA from 1 species